UACGGGGGGAGCAAGCGUUGUUCGGAUUUACUGGGCGUAAAGGGCGCGUAGGCGGCCACCGCAAGUCAAUUGUGAAAUCUCCGGGCUUAACUCGGAAAGGUCAACUGAUACUGCGGGGCUAGAGUGCGGAAGGGGCAACUGGAAUUCUCGGGUGUAGCGGUGAAAUGCGUAGAUAUCGAGAGGAACACCUGCGGCGAAGGCGGGUUGCUGGGCUGACACUGACGCUGAUGCGCGAAAGCUAGGGGAGCGAACGGG
rnacentral:rRNA from 1 species